AGACAUAUAUAUAGAAAUCGUACUUGUGUAGAGAGAUUGUGGAUGAUUAUGGACUCGGGUAUGUUUGUUAGUAGAUUGAUGUAAAUGAAAUGUUUAGACAUUGUUUAAGUUAUGAUUACUAGUUUUGUUUUUGUAAUCUUGAUAUAUACUCGGGGUUCUUUCAACACUUAUGGAUUGAUGUAAUGUUUAGGUUGGGUUGACAAGGAAAUCUCCAAUUCAUGUUGAGCUUGAG
rnacentral:lncRNA from 1 species